GAUGAACGCUGGCGGCGUGCCUAAUACAUGCAAGUCGAGCGAACAGAUGAGGAGCUUGCUCCUCUGACGUUAGCGGCGGACGGGUGAGUAACACGUGGAUAACCUACCUAUAAGACUGGGAUAACUUCGGGAAACCGGAGCUAAUACCGGAUAAUAUAUUGAACCGCAUGGUUCAAUAGUGAAAGACGGUUUUGCUGUCACUUAUAGAUGGAUCCGCGCCGCAUUAGCUAGUUGGUAAGGUAACGGCUUACCAAGGCAACGAUGCGUAGCCGACCUGAGAGGGUGAGCGGCCACACUGGAACUGAGACACGGUGCAGACUCCGACGGGAGGCAGCAGUAGGGAAUCUUCAGCGAUGGGCGAAAGCCUGACGGAGAAACGCCGCGUGAGUGAUGAAGGUCUUCGGAUCGUAAAACUCUGUUAUUAGGGAAGAACAAAUGGGUAAGUAACUAUGCACGUCUUGACGGUACCUAAUCAGAAAACCACGGCUAACUACGUG
rnacentral:rRNA from 1 species